rnacentral:rRNA from 1 species
UACGGGGGGAGCAAGCGUUGUUCGGAUUUACUGGGCGUAAAGGGCGCGUAGGCGGCGCAACAAGUCACUUGUGAAAUCUCCGGGCUUAACCCGGAGCGGCCAAGUGAUACUGUCGUGCUAGAGUGCGGAAGGGGCUACUGGAAUUCUCGGUGUAGCGGUGAAAUGCGUAGAUAUCUGGAGGAACACCGGUGGCGAAGGCGGCAUCCUGGACCAAUAUUGACGCUGAGGAGCGAAAGCCAGGGGAGCAAACGGG